rnacentral:rRNA from 1 species
CUACGGGGGGCUCCAGUGAGGAACAUUGCACAAUGGGGGGAACCCUGAUGCAGCAACGCCGCGUGGAGGAUGACGCAUUUCGGUGUGUAAACUCCUUUUAUAUGUCAAGAAAAUGACGGUAGCAUAUGAAUAAGCACCGGCUAACUCCGUGCCAGCAGCCGCGGUAAUACGGAGGGUGCAAGCGUUACUCGGAAUCACUGGGCGUAAAGGACGCGUAGGCGGGUUGGAAAGUCAGGUGUGAAAUCCUACAGCUUAACUGUAGAACUGCACUUGAAACUUCUAAUCUAGAGUAUGGGAGGGGGAGAUGGAAUUAGUGGUGUAGGGGUAAAAUCCGUAGAUAUCACUAGGAAUACCUAAAGCGAAGGCGAUCCCCUGGAGCAUUACUGACGCUAAGGCGUGAAAGCGUGGGGAGCAAACAGGAUUAGAUACCCGCGUAGUC